CUUUUAGGUUGUUUCAAUGUUUUUCAAGUUAUGAACACUGCAGUGAAUAUUAUAAUACGAACAUCUUGUGAACACUAUCCAGGUCAUCUUCAUUCUGCUGGCUUGGAUCCUAGGUGUUGAAAAGUCCCAGUUGUUUUCCUCACACUUCAGAAGAGAUCUGUUCAUGCAACUGUACAGCUCCGUUUGGACACGUCUCAGACACCUGCAUUCUCACUCUCUCAUCUCCAAAACUCCUUCUCUUCCCAGAUAGCGCUCCCAUGAUAGCCAAAACUCAGAUAAAAAACCUGAGUGUCAUCUUUUUCCUUCUUCUCUCU